rnacentral:rRNA from 1 species
CUCCCGCAGGUAUGCCAUUAGUACGGCGAGUGAAGCGGCAAAGCUCAAAUUUGAAAUCUGGCACAUUCGGUGUCCGAGUUGUAAUUUGAAGAAGGUAACUUUGGAGUUGGCUCUUGUCUAUGUUCCUUGGAACAGGACGUCACAGAGGGUGAGACUCCCGCGAGAAGUUAUCCACUUCUCUCUAUGUGCUUUCUAACAACGAGUUGUUUUGUUAGGCAAUUCAUCUUGGGUGGGGUGUUCCAUCCCAUCCUAAAUUAUGUCUAGACAACAAACCCAUACCAAUACUGUGCUGUAAUGAUGAAUAUAACUUUAAUUUUAAAAUGAAAGUGUACUUGUACUUGUUAUUGUUGAAGGGCUUGAGCUCAGACAUGGACUUUUGCUAUCCUUUCCCUUUUCCUUGGGGUCCUCGCUCCUCACUGCUCCAUCGUCCCUUUUGAUGUUAGGAUAAUAACAAAAGAAUGUGGCUCUACUUCUUCUGAAUGUUAUAACUGUGCUUGCUACUGCUUAUCUAGACCUAUGACUGCCUCUUUUGACUAUGAUGUUGUCAUAAUGUUCUUAACCAAUCCUUCUUAACCCCCCCCCCAAAACNNA